GACGACCCACACGAACGUUAUUCGGAAUUACUGGGCUUAAAGGGUGCGUAGGCUGUGCGGAAAGUUAGGUGUGAAAUCCCCCGGCUCAACCGGGGAAUUGCGCUUAAAACUACCGUGCUAGAGGAAGACAGAGGUGAGCGGAACUUCGGGUGGAGCGGUGAAAUGCGUUGAUAUCCGAAGGAACACCGGUGGCGAAAGCGGCUCACUGGGUCUUUUCUGACGCUGAUUCACGAAAGCUAGGGGAGCAAACGGG
rnacentral:rRNA from 1 species